UACGUAGGUGGCAAGCGUUAUCCGGAAUUAUUGGGCGUAAAGCGCGCGCAGGUGGUUUCUUAAGUCUGAUGUGAAAGCCCACGGCUCAACCGUGGAGGGUCAUUGGAAACUGGGAGACUUGAGUGCAGAAGAGGAAAGUGGAAUUCCAUGUGUAGCGGUGAAAUGCGUAGAGAUAUGGAGGAACACCAGUGGCGAAGGCGACUUUCUGGUCUGUAACUGACACUGAGGCGCGAAAGCGUGGGGAGCAAACGGG
rnacentral:rRNA from 1 species